CACAGAUUCAACUCGCUCGACCU
rnacentral:siRNA from 1 species